CCCGGUGAAAAUUUUUAUUUAAACGGUUGCUGUUGAUAGCAGUACGAAGGUAGCACAAUAAAUAGUCCUUUAAUUGGGGGACAGUAUGAAUGGCGUGACGUGGGAAAGCUGUCUCAAGCUUAAAGGUUGAAAUUUACUUUUGCGUGAAAAGGCGUAAAUGAAAACAUUAAACGAGAAGACCCUAUCGAGCUUGAUGAGGGUUGUUUCAGGUGAAGCUAUGCUUAAAGUUUAGUUGGGGUCACUGGAUGCAUGAUUAACGUAUCUGAAGUGGGGUGUUUGUGGAUCCCUUUUUAAGGAUUUGUAGAAGAAGCUACCGUAGGGAUAACAGCGUAAUGUUUCUGGAGAGAUCUUAUUGAAGGAAGGUGUUGCGACCUCGAUGUUGAAUUAGGGUGUUAUCUUGGCGCANCCGUUGAGAUUGUGGGACUGUUCGUCCUUUAAAAUCCUACGUGAUCUGA
rnacentral:rRNA from 1 species